rnacentral:rRNA from 1 species
UGGCGCACGGGUGAGUAACGCGUGGGUAAUCUACCCUUGGAUUUGGGAUAACUCUGCGAAAGUGGAGCUAAUACCGGAUAGUCUGGCUUUAAAUAAGAAGUCGGUAAAGGAUGCCUCUGCAUAUGCAUUCGUCCGAGGAUGAGCCCGCGUCUCAUUAGCUAGUUGGUAGGGUAAUGGCCUACCAAGGCAACGAUGAGUAGCUGGUCUGAGAGGAUGAUCAGCCACACUGGAACUGAAACACGGUCCAGACUCCUACGGGAGGCAGCAGUGGGGAAUAUUGCGCAAUGGGCGAAAGCCUGACGCAGCAACGCCGUGUGAGGGAUGAAGGCUUUCGGGUCGUAAACCUCUGUCGGAAGGGAAGAACGGGCAUUGGUCUAAUAGGCCUUUGUUUUGACGGUACCUUUAGAGGAAGCACCGGCUAACUCCGUGCCAGCAGCCGCGGUAAUACGGAGGGUGCAAGCGUUAUUCGGAAUUACUGGGCGUAAAGCGCACGUAGGCGGCCUUGUAAGUCAGGGGUGAAAUCCCACGGCUCAACCGUGGAACUGCCUUUGAAACUGCAGGGCUUGAAUCCUGGAGAGGGUGGCGGAAUUCCUGGUGUAGGAGUGAAAUCCGUAGAUAUCAGGAGGAACACCGGUGGCGAAGGCGGCCACCUGGACAGGUAUUGACGCUGAGGUGCGAAAGUGUGGGGAGCAAACAGGAUUAGAUACCCUGGUAGUCCACACCGUAAACGAUGGAUACUAGGUGUCGGGGACUUGAUCUUCGGU